GGGCCUGUGGUCUAGCUGGUCAUGACGUCGCCUUCACACGGCGGAGGUCGGGAGUUCGAACCUCCCCGGGCCCA
rfam:Methanomethylovorans hollandica DSM 15978, complete genome.